CCCUGGCGCCUGGACUGAGCUUGGCACACAGAAGUGGCCCGAUGGCUGGGUGUUGAAGGAGUGAGAGUUGGUGUUUGAUUUUACCGCUGAAGACACAGAGGUGUCACCUGAGUGUCCUGCCCGAUGAUGACAGCUGUGCUUUAUGGAGAGUCCUGUGUGCUGAGCCCUUUAAACCUCACAGCAACUGGGAAGAUGUACAACCCCAUUUGUGAGGAAGAGACCCGCCAGCUUGAGCGUCUUGGGCAAAGACACACAGCAGGGCAGAGGGAGGCGCGGGGCCCAAACCCUGCUGGUGACUUCUUUGCUGUCUUGACUCCCACCGUCCUCUCGGACAGUCGAGUGGCCCUUCCCACUCACUCCAUCUCCAGGCAGCCCCGGGUGUGACCCGCAGACAGAAUCCACCCGGCUGUACGACCUCCUAGCCAAGGACUGGCCCCAUUUCCCAGGACUCCCAUUUCAGCGUUUCCCGUCCAACAAUGUGGUUGAGGACCUGGGUGAAAUCACAAAUGAGCUUGCCUGGAGCACUGGAGGGAUCAGAAGUGCCUCUCCUGCCACCGGCCACCAGCAGCGGAGAUGUCAGCCCUGUCCCUCUGACCCUGCCAGUGCCACUCAACUUCUCUCUCCCUGGAUUUCCCACCUGGGGCUCUGCCUCCCUCUGACUCCUGGGUGCGGUGGGUCAGGCUCUCUGCCUGUGUGUGCCUCAGGAACCCUGGGGCAGGGGAAGGUGCCUCUGGAAGGAACAAGGACAAGAGGUCCCAGAUGUUACCACCCCAAGCUACAGAGACUCUAGCCUCUCGCCCAGCAAGGUGGCAGGAGGAGGACAGCUCCUGAGCCAGGCUCCCCAGCUGGAGGAAAGAAGGAAAGAUUCGCUCCCAGGACCCUCUGUUGGCUCCCGGCCCUGCUCUCUCCUAUACUGGCCACGAAAGCCCGUCACUUUCCAGGCAGCUGUGAUUUCUUUGUUUCCUCCUUUCUUUGUAUUCCCCU